CCUACGGGUGGCAGCAGUGAGGAAUAUUGGUCAAUGGGCGCGAGCCUGAACCAGCCAAGUAGCGUGAAGGAUGACUGCCCUACGGGUUGUAAACUUCUUUUAUAAAGGAAUAAAGUGAGGCACGUGUGCCUUUUUGUAUGUAUUUUAUGAAUAAGGAUCGGCUAACUCCGUGCCAGCAGCCGCGGUAAUACGGAGGAUGCGAGCGUUAUCCGGAUUUAUUGGGUUUAAAGGGUGCGUAGGUGGUUAAUUAAGUCAGCGGUGAAAGUUUGUGGCUCAACCAUAAAAUUGCCGUUGAAACUGGUUGACUUGAGUAUAUUUGAGGUAGGCGGAAUGCGUGGUGUAGCGGUGAAAUGCUUAGAUAUCACGAAGAACUCCGAUUGCGAAGGCAGCUUACUAAACUGCCACUGACAUUGAUGCUCGAAAGUGUGGGUAUCAAACAGGAUUAGAUACCCCAGUAGUC
rnacentral:rRNA from 1 species